AAAAAAAUAACUUGAUCGACGCCCAUGAUGCAACUGAUAUACAUUUGUGAUUUGGUUCAAUCUCCAUGGUCCACUGGGGUCCCCUUCUGAAGCUACCCAGAUAAAGAGAAGAAGAAAGAAGGGGCAUUCUCAGAAGAAAUUAGCAUUAUCAAGAUGGAAGAGUGGAGGAGGAGAUCUGCUGCAAAAACUGGGGAAAAUCCUCUGCAGUUGGAAUUUAAAGUACUUUAUCUGAAAAGAAUAUGAAGGGUUUCUGAGGAGUGAGGUGCAAGGGCCCAAAUAUGAAAAAUAGAAAGAGUUGUGGUUGAAUUCUUCUCUUUUUAUUUAUUUAAUUGUUAAAUAUUAUUAUCCUACAUUGUCUUAAAAAAAAUUUGGUUCUUGCUCUCUUUUUUGGUUUUUGAUUUUGUGCUUUUAUGGGUGGCAACAAGGAUGGUGUUUCAGUUUGAGAUUGCUGAGUCACAGGUUUUCUUGUCUCUCAUUGUUAUCUGGAAGUUUAUAGAGUGGGAUUAUUAAGCAUUGGUUGGAUGAAUGUUGCUUAUAUAGUCAAUAUAUAGAUCAGUAUCAACAGUGUUCUUAGAUUUUGUAGGCUGAAUUAUGUGCUGUUUCCAUGGUGAACUACUGUAAUAUCUUUCUCUUGUGGUGUUCAUUUGGCUUCUCUUGUGGAUCGCCUUAUGAUGGUCGUGCAGGCCCUGCCAUAAAUGGGUAUAUGUUUUGGAUUGAAAGGUUUUGUUGGUGAGCUGGUUUCCUCAGUCUAAGUUUGGCCAAUUAUUUUGCGAUGUUCAAUGACAAAACUUAUAUGGUAAUUCCACAAGAAAUAUUGUCUGAUUCUUGUGGAAUGUGUUGUUAAACUGCAUCAAUGACAGUACAGUAUCAGUAAUGAUAAUUCACCCAGUAGUACAUGGCUUUGAAUUCUGGUUGUGGAACCUAUAUUUGCUGUAACCGUAGGAAAUAUAACAUUUUGAAGGAUAUGUUCGCUCAAGGACGAUAUUUUGAGGAAUGAUCUCAUUGUCAGAUUGUCCGUUUUGUAAUUGAGAAGAUAUUGAAAUAAGAUAGCUGGAAAA